rfam:Schistosoma mansoni strain Puerto Rico chromosome 4, complete genome
CUGCAGCUGACGAGUCCCAAAUAGGACGAAACGCGCGGCCUGAAU